rnacentral:ncRNA from 19 species
UUCGUCUCACGUGACUGGCGAAUCCGACUGGUUUUCCUGCUGUUUAUAGGUAAAUUACGUCGUAAGGUGGGCUUACCCACCGUGAAGCGUGAGAUUUCAUUGCCGUGCGCCUGGGUAGCCCGA